rnacentral:rRNA from 1 species
AAACUAACAAGGAUUCCCCUAGUAACGGCGAGUGAAGAGGGAAAAGCUCAAAUUUAAAAGCUGUUGUCUUUCAGGCAACCGCAUUGUAAUCUCAAGAAGUGUUUUCGAUUGUAGCCUGCGUAUAAGUACCUUGGAAUAGGUUGGCAUAGAGGGUGAAACUCCCGUCUUUGAUGCAGAUUACUAUGAUCAUGUGAUACACUUUCUAA